UACGUAGGGCGCGAGCGUUGUCCGGAAUUAUUGGGCGUAAAGAGCUCGUAGGCGGCUUGUCACGUCGGGUGUGAAAGACCGGGGCUUAACUCCGGUUCUGCAUUCGAUACGGGCUAGCUAGAGUGUGGUAGGGGGAGAUCGGAAUUCCUGGUGUAGCGGUGAAAUGCGCAGAUAUCAGGAGGAACACCGGUGGCGAAGGCGGAUCUCUGGGCCGUAACUGACGCUGAGGAGCGAAAGCAUGGGGGAGCGAACAGG
rnacentral:rRNA from 1 species